UGCAGUCGAGCGGCAGCGAGAAGAAACUUGUUUUCUUUGUCGGCGAGCGGCGGACGGGUGAGUAAUGGUUGGGAACCUGGCCUAACGAGGGGGAUAACAGUUGGAAACGACUGCUAAUACCGCAUGACGUCUACGGACCAAAGAAGGGGAUCUUCGGACCUUUCGCGUUAGGAUGGGCCCAAUUGGGAUUAGCUAGUUGGUGAGGUAAUGGCUCACCAAGGCGACGAUCUCUAGCUGGUUUGAGAGGAUGAUCAGCCACACUGGAACUGAGACACGGUCCAGACUCCUACGGGAGGCAGCAGUGGGGAAUAUUGCACAAUGGGCGCAAGCCUGAUGCAGCCAUGCCGCGUGUAUGAAGAAGGCCUUCGGGUUGUAAAGUACUUUCAGCGAGGAGGAAGGUAGCGUAGUUAAUACCUGCGUUAUUUGACGUUACUCGCAGAAGAAGCACCGGCUAACUCCGUGCCAGCAGCCGCGGUAAUACGGAGGGUGCGAGCGUUAAUCGGAAUUACUGGGCGUAAAGCGCAUGCAGGCGGUUUGUUAAGUUAGAUGUGAAAGCCCCGGGCUUAACCUGGGAGUUGCAUUUAAGACUGGCAAGCUAGAGUCUUGUAGAGGGGGGUAGAAUUUCAGGUGUAGCGGUGAAAUGCGUAGAGAUCUGAAGGAAUACCGGUGGCGAAGGCGGCCCCCUGGACAAAGACUGACGCUCAGAUGCGAAAGCGUGGGUAGCAAACAGGAUUAGAUACCCUGGUAGUCCACGCUGUAAACGAUGUCUACUUGGAGGUUGGUGUCUUGAACACUGGCUUUCGAAGCUAACGCGUUAAGUAGACCGCCUGGGGAGUACGGUCGCAAGAUUAAAACUCAAAUGAAUUGACGGGGGCCCGCACAAGCGGUGGAGCAUGUGGUUUAAUUCGAUGCAACGCGAAGAACCUUACCUACUCUUGACAUCCAGAGAAGCCAGCAGAGAUGCAGGUGUGCCUUCGGGAACUCUGAGACAGGUGCUGCAUGGCUGUCGUCAGCUCGUGUUGUGAAAUGUUGGGUUAAGUCCCGCAACGAGCGCAACCCUUAUCCUUGUUUGCCAGCACGUAAAGGUGGGAACUCCAGGGAGACUGCCGGUGAUAAACCGGAGGAAGGUGGGGACGACGUCAAGUCAUCAUGGCCCUUACGAGUAGGGCUACACACGUGCUACAAUGGGGCAUACAGAGGGCAGCAAGACCGCGAGGUGGAGCGAAUCCCAGAAAGUGUCUCGUAGUCCGGAUUGGAGUCUGCAACUCGACUCCAUGAAGUCGGAAUCGCUAGUAAUCGUGGAUCAGAAUGCCACGGUGAAUACGUUCCCGGGCCUUGUACACACCGCCCGUCACACCAUGGGAGUGGGUUGCUCCAGAAGUAGAUAGCUUAACCUUCGGGAGGGCGUUAC
rnacentral:rRNA from 1 species